rnacentral:lncRNA from 1 species
AUUUUUCUUGCUAAUAUCAUUAUGCAUAGAUAUAACCUUUUCUUACGAUGAUGCUAGGUGUUAUUGCACUAAUCAAUAUAUGUUUUGACAGUAUAGUUAGAAUACUUAGGAUUUAUUCUUGUAGACCGUCCUAGUCCAUGCUAGUGUUAUAGACAUAGAGUAAUAUAUUGAGAUGAUUAUCAUAUUCAUAUAUGGCUAUGUGCUCUUCUAUCUCUUAUUAUUCAUAUAUAUAUUAUUUAUCUUAUGUGACACUUACCCUACAUGAGAGAUAGAUAAAGACAUGGUUAAGAUCUCCAUGACCACAUGCAGUGCUUGUUGGGUAUUGUAAACGCAAACAGAAAAAAUCCGCAAACGCACGGAUACCGAUGUAGCUUUCACCCGGGAGUAUUCCAGAGUAUCGAUUUUCCACAGGGAACGUGAGUGUACUAAUUAAGAUCCAAGAUCGCCCAAAGAUAACUAUAUAAUUAUUUUUGGUGGGAAGAGAGGAAGUUUUCUGAGAGUUCUCUAGUUGAUCUAAGAAUCAAGAAUUACUUCAAGAUUAUCUAUAUCGGGACAUCAGAGCACUAACCACAGAUAGAGAUGAGAAGGGGGCUAGGAAGGUCUGACUUCGGUCCUACAAACACCGAUCCGAACGAGGUGGAAUACGUCGACCGUUAGGGCUGUCACUACCCUAGGGCUACCACAACAAUCCGCAGGAUUGGGUGCAAUUCCAGGUAAUUGCAAGACUAAACACCACGUCUAAUCUAUUAAUUACUACUCUAAUGUUGCAAAGAUUAGAGCACUUGAUGCAAGCGGGAAUCCAAUCAAUAACUUGAAUGUAAAUAAAAGUAAUUAAAGAACUCAGGAAUUAUGAAUUGAAGCACCUAGAGAACGAUGAAGAACGAACCAGUUGCUGCAAAAGUACAAUGUUGAGGAAGAUCCGACAGAUCCGGCUCCUCCUCCGCUCUCCUCUUCUCUCUCCCUAUUUUUUAGAUUACAACUAGAACUAACUAGAACUUGAACUAGAGGAACUAGAACUAGAACUAGAUGAACUAGAACUAGAUCUAGAUGAACUAGAGGUAGAACUAGAAGAACUAGAGGGAUCCUCUCUACUUGGAUGAAGAAUUGAAACCCUAACUUUGAUUCUAUAGAAGAGGUAUGAUCUCCAGGGGCCAGGGGGCCUUGCUUAUAUAGUCUUUUCAGAUGAAUCCGGGCCGUUGGAUCAAAUCGACAUUGAUUGAACGGUUAUCCUUGAUCCUUUAGGUCGGUGGAGCACGAUCCGCGAGUUUGGACGUGAUUGGGCAGAACUCUAGGGCGGGCGCCCUCAGGACUUGGGCGGGCGCCCUGUCCCUGAGUCCUCUUGGCUGCUUCAUUCCCGUGGCUUCUGGAGUCUUCUAGAUGGUAGAAAAUUGCACAGCACGUUAAUACCUCUAUGUAAACCCGACGUGUGGGCCUUUCUUCCUUAUUUCCUAAUAACCCCCUGCAGAAAUAGACAAACACCAAAACUCGUGGAAUUCUGUCAGAUAAAACCCUAAGUCUGGGUGUUGGUUGCAUAUAAGUCCUUUUCCAUGAUUAGUUGAUGGUUAAAUGUGAGCAUUAAGGACCGUCAACAAGCACCCCCAAGCAAAAUGCAAGGUAGAGUUUUAAAAGUUUUAGCAUACUUACCUUGCAUUUUGCUAUGUCAAUGCUUGGAGCAAGGGAGAGGAAUCUCAUACUCCUAGAUCAAGACCUUUGACCUUUUUGAAAAGUUUGUCAUCUCUUACUGGCAUAUUGCUUAUUAGAGGGACCAUGGGCUAUCAUUUUUUUCUUUUUUUUAUUUCUUUUUUCAAUCUCUCUCUUAUUUUUUCUUCUUUAUUUUUAAGUGGGCACUAAGUACCCCUAAUUCUACUAUCGGACACGUGUCUAUUUUUUUCCACUCAGGUGGGUAUCUUUAUACCCCUAAUUCUACUUCGAACACUUGUCCAUUUUUACCUCUCGUCUCACUUCUCUUUUUUUUCAAAUCAAAUUUUUGCAUAGUCCCAUGCCUCUAACGCAAUAAUACUUCGGAAGAGUGAAUCUUUUAUAUUUUUAAAACAAAAAGAUCUUGAUCUUGGGAGCAUGAUAAUUCUCUCAACCAAAACUACAAGAAUUAACAAUGGCUUGAACAAAGCAAGUGCCCACAGUUUUAAUAUUCAUAUCUUAUAAGCCUCUAGGUAGUAUGUCAAACAAGAUCUCAAUUUUUUUAGAUUUUCAAAAGAUAAAAUCUCCAGAACUCUAGCAAAACUUGGAACAAGUUAAAUAGUAGCUCAGACCUUCUCAUAUCAUGUUUAUCAAUUACCUAGACUUGGAUCAAACUUUCUUUUUAUUUUAUUUAAAACUCAAGAUUACACAAAACUAUUGUAUAUUACUCAAAAGAAAAACUUUAUUUGGUUUCAUGAUUAUGCAUUAUUUUUUUAUUUAUUACUGAAUACUAGUAAAUAAAACCAAGAAAGAAGAAGUAAUACCUAUCUAGAUACACGUGGGGGUGCCUUCCCCAAGCUGGAUGUUGACAUAGUCGUUCACUCUUGUGGCCUGCAUGUUCGGUCUCACUCUUCUUAAGCCUCAAAAUCCUGCACAACCCAAAUAGACAACAAAACUUGUGGAGCAUGUUAAGGGUUAGGUAAUUGUCUAGAGCUUAUGAGAGCUUAAUACGAGAAUUCUAUGAACUCAAUCACAUCAAGUUCCUCUACCAGGUUAUUUUGUGGCUCGAGAUAGAUUUUCAAGCGUUGACCAUUUACCUUAAAAGUGUUACCUAUGUCAUCUUGGAUGGUAAUGGCUCCAUGAGUUGAAGUGUCAAUAACCUUGUAUGGUCCAUUCCACUUAUGUAACACCCGAUUUUAAGGACAAAAUCAGAUAUGCACCAUAUGUGAGUUUUAGAAGACAAGACUCACAUAUAGCUACAAAUAAAGGGUAAUAUCAAAGGACAAUGCAUAAAUUAUAUAGCGUGGAUAAUAAAUUAGAAACAACCUUGGGCAGCAAACACGGAAGAGAACUCCAAACUUCGGGUGUUAACCUCACUCUACAGGAUCCAACUGACUGGUUGAUCACAAGCCCAAAACUUCUCCUGAGGUGUGGGGGAGAUAGCAAGAGUGAGUUCAAGACGAACUCCGCAAGUAUAACAACUAGAUUGUAUAGAUCCCACAAUCUCAUGAUCAAUGUGACAUAAAUUAUAUAGAGCAUUAAACAAUAAUCAAUGAGUUUCUUAACACAAGAUUCAUCACCCUUAAUGUAAGAGUUCCCAAGGCCGCUCGUGACCGUGAGCACGGCUAGUAUACCAGUUUUUAACACUCUGCAGAGGUUGU